rnacentral:rRNA from 1 species
UACGGAGGGUGCAAACGUUGCUCGGAAUCACUGGGCGUAAAGCGCACGUAGGCGGUCCGAUAAGUCGGAUGUGAAAGCCCUGGGCUCAACCUAGGAAGUGCAUUCGAAACUGUCGGACUUGAGUACGGGAGAGGGUUGCGGAAUUCCCGGUGUAGAGGUGAAAUUCGUAGAUAUUCGGAGGAACACCAGAAGCGAAGGCGGCUCACUGGCCCGAUACUGACGCUGAGGCGCGAAAGCGUGGGGAGCAAACAGG